UUUUAUUCCCUAGAAAGUUGUGAAACACAAAGAAGAGACACAUUUUCCAAAAAGUCUAGAGAGGAAAGAAGAGCCUGAAGGCCAGCAGCAGCAACAUGCCUGAAGCCGAGAUGAAAUUCACUAGACUGAAUUCAAGAGGUGAAAACCCAAGCAGAACCUCCAAGCUGCCAGCAGGGGGAGUAGUUCUGCUGGUUAUGGUCGGUCUGCUGGCUGCUGCUCUCAUCGUU